CCAUAAAAAGUUUGACAGCUCCGAAAUUUUACGAUCAUCCGACGAAAUCGGUUGCCUACCAAAUCGACCUAUUUUUGCACCGACAGUGUCGAUUUUCGUAGACUACUUAUUUUCGUCGCCAGAUUUAUUGAACAAUUAAAUCGCGGCUAUUAUGUCUCUAUUUCAUCGGUAAAAUAAUCGGUUGAUUUUGUGUUUUGGGUCUGUUUUGAUCGUCUGACAAAUGAACAGACGAAAUCGGAUCCCUGAGAUUAUAAACAUAAAAUAAAUCGAACACAUUCCAGAACAUCGCAGAUUUCUGGUUUUCCAGUAAUUAGCAGUUAAGCGAGAAUCAUGACUCUAAACGAUCCCGAUCGAUAUCAAAGACUCCAUUGAUACAGGCCUGGUCCCAGCAAAAUCUAUGGAAGUGUAAAGAACAUGCCACCCAAAAUAAUAUGUCG